rnacentral:rRNA from 1 species
AGAGUUUGAUCCUGGCUCAGGAUGAACGCUAGCUACAGGCUUAACACAUGCAAGUCGAGGGGCAGCAUGAACUUAGCUUGCUAAGUUUGAUGGCGACCGGCGCACGGGUGAGUAACACGUAUCCAACCUGCCGAUGACUCGGGGAUAGCCUUUCGAAAGAAAGAUUAAUACCCGAUGGCAUAGUUCUUCCGCAUGGUAGAACUAUUAAAGAAUUUCGGUCAUCGAUGGGGAUGCGUUCCAUUAGCUUGUUGGCGGGGUAACGGCCAACCAAGGCAUCGAUGGAUAGGGGUUCUGAGAGGAAGGUCCCCCACAUUGGAACUGAGACACGGUCCAAACUCCUACGGGAGGCAGCAGUGAGGAAUAUUGGUCAAUGGGCGCUAGCCUGAACCAGCCAAGUAGCGUGAAGGAUGACUGCCCUAUGGGUUGUAAACUUCUUUUAUAUGGGAAUAAAGUGCAGUAUGUAUACUGCUUUGCAUGUACCUUAUGAAUAAGGAUCGGCUAACUCCGUGCCAGCAGCCGCGGUAAUACGGAGGAUCCGAGCGUUAUCCGGAUUUAUUGGGUUUAAAGGGAGCGUAGGCGGGUUGUUAAGUCAGUUGUGAAAGUUUGCGGCUCAACCGUAAAAUUGCAGUUGAUACUGGCAUCCUUGAGUACAGUAGAGGUAGGCGGAAUUCGUGGUGUAGCGGUGAAAUGCUUAGAUAUCACGAAGAACUCCGAUUGCGAAGGCAGCCUGCUGGACUGUAACUGACGCUGAUGCUCGAAAGUGUGGGUAUCAAACAGGAUUAGAUACCCUGGUAGUCCACACAGUAAACGAUGAAUACUCGCUGUUUGCAAUAUACAGUAAGCGGCC